CUUGUCUACCCUUCGGUGUUUUGGUUUUCAGUUCCUCCUUUGCCAGUCGGUUGUUUGUUGUUUGUUGUUUGUUGUCACGUGUGGGAGAGUUGCUGCUGCUGAGGCUGAAACUGAGAUGAAGGAGGAGGUUUUAGUUUUAACAGGAAACAAACAGACGGUGUUCUUUUAUUUUUUAGUUUAAAGGUGUAAUAACCUGGUCUGAACAGCAGAGGUUUUAUACAGAAAGGGAAAUUAAUUUCCAGAUCAGAUGCUGAUCGAUUGUUUCCUGAUAACCUCUGUGAUCUGUCGUUCCCUGCAGUGGCAGCCGAGGUCUCCAUCCUUCCCCUGAGACCCCAACAUGACCACUGCAGCUGUCAGAA